AGAAGAAGGAUGGAAGGGAAAAAAGAGAAAGAGGAAGGAAGGAAGAUAGGAAGGAAAGAAUGGAGGAGGGGAAAGAGGGAGGGAAGAAGGCAGAAUCUGUCAAUCCAGAUAGAGCCAUUACAAAUAUGAGCCCCACAAUUCCAGAAAUGGUUGACCUGAUUUUAUAUAAUUCAGUAGAUCGAUUCAUAGAUUGUGUUUCUGCACAUGAAGACGUUGAAGUUCAUGAAUGAUGCAUUUUUUUUCUUUUUUUCUCACAACUAGCGGGUAAUGUCUAAGACUAUCUUGUUUUCUUCCUGUGCUCAUAGCUCCUAGCACAGUGCCUGCCUCAAACCAGGGAGAAAGCAGAGAUAAAUGUUCAACCCUAAUUUGAUCAUUGGAAACACUGAGGAUCCAAGAAGAUAAAGAUUCAUUUCAACAAUUUCAAGCGGUACACAGCAAAGUCUAUCUUGACAACAUCAGGGAAGAAAUUCUCAAGAAGACAAAGAUACGUUCCAGUCCUAUCGAAUUUUAUUUCAGCCAUCGAAGGAAGAAAGAGUGUGGGCUUGGGGGAAGUGUCUGCA